rnacentral:rRNA from 1 species
CAGCCGCCGCGGGAACACGGAGGGGGCUAGCGUUGUUCGGAAUUACUGGGCGUAAAGCGCACGUAGGCGGCUUGGUAAGUUAGAGGUGAAAGCCCGGAGCUCAACUCCGGAAUUGCCUUUAAGACUGCCGAGCUAGUAGGUGAGAGAGGUAAGUGGAAUUCCGAGUGUAGAGGUGAAAUUCGUAGAUAUUCGGAAGAACACCAGUGGCGAAGGCGGCUUACUGGCUCAUUCUAGACGCUGAGGCACGAAAGCGUGGGGAGCAAAUAGGAUUAGAUACCCCAGUAGUCCCUGUCUCUUAUAC